rnacentral:rRNA from 1 species
UACGGGGGGAGCAAGCGUUGUUCGGAUUUACUGGGCGUAAAGGGCGCGUAGGCGGCCACCGCAAGUCGACUGUGAAAUCUCCGGGCUUAACCCGGAAAGGUCAGCCGAUACUGCGGGGCUAGAGUGCAGAAGGGGCAACUGGAAUUCUCGGUGUAGCGGUGAAAUGCGUAGAUAUCCGGAGGAACACCGGUGGCGAAGGCGGCUUCCUGGACCGACACUGACGCUGAGGCGCGAAAGCUAGGGGAGCAAACGGG